UCAGCUCCCACAAAUUCCAUGGCAUCUUGCUGAGGUAGUGGAUUCUGUAGUUUUUGCUCGUUAAAUGAGCCAGAGGAGGUAACUGCACAUUCCACCAUCUCGUAAGCGCCUUGAACUUUCAACCUCGGAUUUC
rnacentral:precursor_RNA from 10 species